UGAGGAAUAUUGCACAAUGGGCGCAAGCCUGAUGCAGCAAUGCCGCGUGCGGGAGGACGUCCUUCGGGAUGUAAACCGCUUUUCUGAGGGAAGAGCACGGACGGUACCUCAGGAACAAGUCACGGCUAACUACGUGCCAGCAGCCGCGGUAAUACGUAGGUGGCGAACGUUAUCCGGAAUUACUGGGCGUAAAGGGUCCGCAGGCGGCGGGACAAGCCGGAUGUGAAAGCGCGCGGCUCAACUGCGCGAGGCCAUUCGGAACUGUCCGGCUGGAAUCUGACAGAGGUCGGUGGAAUUCCCGGUGUAGUGGUGGAAUGCGUAGAGAUCGGGAGGAACGCCAAAGGCGCAGGCAACCGGCUGGGUCAAGAUUGACGCUGAGGGACGAAAGCGUGGGGAGCGAACAGGAUUAGAUACCCCCGUAGUCC
rnacentral:rRNA from 1 species